ensembl:lncRNA
CUUGAUUUACUGAGAGUUCUUUCUCUCUCUCUCUCUCUCUCUUUUUUUUUUUUCCCCUCUGAGUUUCCCUGACUUUUUCUUAUGGCUGAAUUUCCACAGGACUACGUGGGAAUCUGAGCUACACAGGAGGCUGACAACCAGAAGAAUUGAGCGAUCAUGCCCUCAGACUUUUUCUUUGAUGGUGCAGGUGAAGGAGAACAGAAGCAUGAAAAUACUUCAGCUCUUCAGGCUCUCUUACUCUUUCUCUGCAGAAACCAUUUUGUGCAGUGCUCCAGGAGCCAGCUGCUUCACUUCAAUCAAGCACAGCACAGUUUCAGGGUAACUAAAAGAAAAUGAAGGAAAGGAAAUGCCUCUCCUCCGAAGUAGCUUACAUAAAGGCAUUGGAAAGAAGGCCUAAUUCUUCCACUGGGUAAAAUAUUUUUCAUUUAGACCUGAAAAUGGAUGCAAUUUUCUGCAGAUAAAACUGUUUAGUGAGAUGUGCAGAAUACUGGCAUAUCCAUCUGGCGAAGUUUCACAUGGCAGUGCCCCUGUUUUUCAGUGCUGUUCAUGUCAUUUUUUCAUGGGGCAGAAGCAGAGCUUGCAGCACUCAUAGCCAAGCAGUGCUAAGUGGCGCCAAGCAGUGCUAAGUGGCAUCAAGCAGACUCAUGUCCAACUUUCUGGAAAAGUGCAUGGGAAUUACAAAUGGAGCUCUGAGGAUCAAGCAGGGAGAUGAACAGGGAAUUUGUUAGGGGAUAAAGCAUAAUCUAUGCUAUCAAAGAGAGAGCAGAAAUGAGCCUGAGUCCAGCCAAGAAAAAGAGCAGAAGAGGUGCUCCCAUCACAGCAGAUCAGCUCUGAAGGCCACAUGGUGCCUUGGGUACAUGGAUGAGCUUGGUUUGAAGAGAACAAGAGCAGCUGAGUGUGCAACUUAAAUGAUGUUGGUGCUGUCUCUCCAUGAGUAGGGCCAACAGUGGGCAGCUUCAGGAGGGCAUGUAGGUUUGGAGCAGGUGAAAGUAGCAGUUCUAUGGAAAGCUGCAGUGUUUCAUAGUCAUAGAGUCAUAGACCAGUUUCAUAGAGUCAUAGAAUAGAAUCACAGAAUUGUUUGAUUUGGAAGGGACCUUUAAAGAUCAUCUAAUCCAACUCUCCUGCAAUGAACAGAGACACCUACUGCUACAUCAGACGCUCAGAAUCUCUUCCAGCCUGACCUUGAAAGUCUCCAAGGACAGAUUGUGUUGCUUUGGACUGCUUUGAUUGCUUCAUGAGUCAAGGAAACCAAGCAUACUCAAAAAAAGUUGACUGUAUGUGAGCCAACAAGUACUGCAGGACUUUUCUCUCAUAAAUCUGCAUGUAGUUAAGAAGAUACUUGAAAAUACUUGAAUGUAGUAAAAUUAGAGAAUCUGAGUUUUGACAGCAAUGCUAGGAAUUCCUUGGAUAGAGAUGGGGGAGAAAGAAAGAGGUGCAGGUGCUGUUACUUCAACAUUUUGUUAGCUGCUUGGUGUUACUCUUAGUUCUUAUGCCAGGUGUUGGUGCCAGGUGUUUUGAACAGCAACAACUGUUAGGUACAGCUGUAUCCACCAUGCAAAGUCAAGAAAUUAGACAGUGCUCUGCUUUUUCAAAAAGGACAGCAGAUGUUAAUAUCUUGUAACUUUUGACUGUGAAGGGAAGAACAAACAAAACCUUUUCUACUGACAAUGUUUAAACAAGUUCUAAGGCAGGCUGCUUUAUCCUUUCCUACAGUCAAGAUAAAAUAAACCAAACCAGACUGACCAAAGAAGGGAAGAAUGAAGAAGUUUUUUUUCUACCUAGCCUCCUCCCUCCCCUUAUCCACCCCCUAUUCUCUGCAACAAAAAGUUGAUUGAAUCAUGAAAGUUGGGAAAUUCAGCAUUAUAGAUUACAAGAAAUGCAGCUCGUCUUCUUUCUUUAUUGAGAGACAGAGCUGCCUUCAAGCCACUGUUUCAGCCAGCCCUUUUCAGAGCCCUGUUAACAACAAUCUGGCUGAGCAUGGCAGUUUGACAGGACUGGGAUGAUUCUUAUUGUUUUGCUAUUGCCUUUCAGUCAAGCUGCUGCCAUUCUGCUGUUUGGCUACUUUGACUGACAGUGUGCAAGUGCCAUGUUUCUGACUUGGGGACCUUUCUGUGGUCAAGUUGCGUGCAGCUUUGCAGAUGAGAAUUCAAAUGAGUAGAAGUCACAAAAUUAAGACAUUGAAAUUACAGCCCCCACACCAGUGUGCAGUCAACCACAAAUUCAAAACAUGGUGUGGAAUGAUGGGAAGAGCAAUGUGAGAAUCACUUCAGCACAGAGUUUAGCCCCAUGUUUUUCAUGAAAUGAAAUCUAUAUUUUGCUUUAUACAAUGGACAAAACUUGCUGAGGGGUGAUUAUCUUCUGUUUUCUGUUUUGAGUCCAUUUACUCUGUGCAGAAUUUUUGUUUUAUUUCAAAAUAAGGUGCAUGUGAAGGAGUGGAUCUGAUGGCAGCUUUUAUAGACCAACCUCUGCUGAGCACACAGCUGCAAGGAAAUGAACCCAUGCGUUAAUGUGCAACACUGUACUGCGUAGACUUAGCUGAGGAAUAAUUUGUACAAAUUGCUGAUGGAAACCAAAUCAAAAGAAAGAAGCCUGCUCUGAUUGCUGCUUGGGAGGGACAAAUCUAGAGGGCCCACUGGACCAGCUAUGGGGCCUGGAGACUGUUCUGUACCUCUGCACAGUGAUAGUGCUCUCUCCCACCUUUUAUACUCAUAGAACACAAAUGUCCCAUCUGCAAGAGAAGUAACAUGAAAAGGAGCAACAUCUGCAACAGCUGUGUGUAUCAGUAGCUAACCCUUGGGAGGACUCAUGACUGGGCUCUUUAGAAAGGUCCUGAUCAAAAUUUAAAGCAAAGGCAGCAACCCACUUUAAGAAUAGAGACACAACACAUGUUUUGGAAAGGUAUCUUUUGUGAAACAGCACGCAAUUAAGAAAAAAAUAUGUUUGAAUAUAGACUUCUAUUGAGUUUUGCUAUUAAUAUAUGUCAAGUUGGUGUUCUUCUUAAAAGACAGUCACUGAAUUAUUAUCAAGUUGUAUGCAUAUAUAAUUAAGAGACUGCUGUGUGAAAUGCAUCUUUUUAAAAUGGUCCCUUAUUACUCAUAUGAAUACUUGAUUCUGAAGAUGCUGUUUAGUGGAGGUUAAGCAAAAAAACUCAUAAGCAAAUCCCCAUGUGAGUUGAGUGCAUAAAUACCCAUUCUAGUCAAAGAAGAAUCAAUGAGUGCAGGUGCUUUGGGGUUUUUGUUUCUUUAUUUUUGUUUUGUUUUUAAUUAGCUGGUUCUUACUGUUUUUAUUAAUCUGUUACUAAUAGUGAUAGCGAUCCAAAAUCUGAGUUCACUAUCUGUGUUAACGGUUGUACAACAGUAGCUCUUCUGGGCACUGACAGAGCUCAAGGCAUUCAUUCAUGAAAGUUCUCAGCUUUUGUUCAGUGACUUCUUAAGGGAACUGUCAUUUUGGUGACAUACUAGGCUAGUCUGGGAUAUAUAAGAAUGAGUGUAAGUAUUUUUAAGGUUUCUUCAGUUAGGGUAGGACCUUUUGUUUGACCUCUCAGGUAAAUGCCCUGAGCGUAGACCCCAUACACAUAUGCAAACUCCUAAGAAACAAUUAUGUCCUACACUGAUGCGGACACACAAGAUUCUCCAGUUAUUUGUCAUUUCCCAGAGCACAACGCCUGUAGUCUGCUCAAAAGUUGUUUUUUUUUUCCAGGAAUUCUAAAUGUUAGAAGAUUCUUACAUGCUGACUAAAAAAAAAAUAAAAAAAUAAUAAAAAAAAUCAUCUCCAACUGUGCAAAAGACUCAUGGACCUAGACAAAACAAUGAAACAUCUGAGCUUCUACCCUAACACUAUGUUCUUUGAAGUUAUGCCAGAUGGUUUAGGUUCUUUAUAAUUUCUCAUAUGCAAAAGUCUUUCGUACAGCCUGGUGUUACUGCAACAUCAUGGUAUUUGCAGUGCUUAUUUAAAUGCUAAGUGCGUUCCAAGAGUUACUGAAGAAGACAACAUCCUCAUGCUGAGAAAGGGUACUUGUGAGGCACCCAGUACAAUUCAGCUUGUUCCCAAUCCUCCCCUUGAAGAAUACUGAGUAAAAUCCUCUGUUUAGAGAAGCU